UAGUUCCCAGCGUUUUUAAACAGUAACCUGUUUCCGCGCAGUUGAGAGCAGGGCGCGGCCGCGGUGGGGUGCCCGGGGACCCCGCUGCUCCCUGGCGAGGUGGGAGUCGGGGUCGACCCCCGCACAUCGUCACCCACAGGUGCGAACACAUUUAAAAACAUUAACCAAAAGAUCAGUGCUGUCCCUCCCGGCUACCUCAGCAUCUCAGAGAAAGGCACCAGAUCAGAAGUGCUGUCCUUUCAGAAGAGUGCUGUGGGCUUCUCAGUCAGCACCAGGCCGCUGGAGCUCAGAUUGAAGUGUGAAGGAUGGCAGGUCUACCUGCACAGCAUUGAGCCCCCGACAGAGAGCGAGUGACGCAGGGGUGCGCAUGCUGUCCCGUGCAGUGAGGAGGCCCUGUGAGAGGGAGCAGUGAUGCAAGACCCAGGGACGAAGGAGACUGGCAUCGGGCCAGGACAGGGGGCAGAGGCGCUUUGCAUAAAUUAGCAUGAGAACCAGAAGCCCCGAAUGGCACCGGAAUGAUUCAUUAACAUUCAGAACUCCUCUUUGCCCUAAUUAACAGGGGCAUUGAUUGAAAUGUUUGGCAAGGAAUUAGGGUGCAUUAGAGCAGGUCUGUGGUUACUGGGGUGGAAAGAAAAGGGAGAGGGGGGGGGAUUAAUUGAGAUGCAGAAUUAAAUAGAUGCUGAAUAGUAACAAACAGAUUGGAGUGGCUGCUGUUCUUGUGAUUUAUUUAGGUGGAGCGUGUUUAAGGCCAGUAAGAGUAAUCUGUGUAAUAUACUUUAAAUACAUUGAUAUGUACUCUAUAUAUAUAAUCACCUGUUGCCAUGUUGCUGUGAUCUGUGUUACUUAUAUUAGUAACUGAGAGAUGAUUUGUAAACUUGUAAUUUAUUAAACCAGUUAACAGUAGUAAUUACAAAUCCUUGGGUUAUAGUACAAUAUAAUUAUACAGUGAGGAGAAAGGCUAGUAUAUAUUAAUAAUCAAAGAGAUGCAAUAAAUAAAAUGGUAAAUGUUUUGAAUAAAAAAAAUAUACACAGCAGUUUCCCCUGCCGCUGAAGACAAAGACUGCUAGUCGAAACCAGCGUGAUGGGAUUUAUAUUAGCAUUUAUAAAUUCAGCACUAUAGAGAGUGUUAAGGAGCCAUGAAUGAACAGUAUAUAAAUAAACAUCAUGCAUGUGAUUCUACCUUUUAAAGCUGGUUUUCUGCAUAACAUUUGAUUGGAAUAAACAGUCGCUAUGUUUUGAAGCUGCAUCUCGAGUCUCUUAAUAAGAAAGACAUUUCUUAACUGCUUUGCAUAUGCACCUUGUUGAUUGAUUUCGAAUUUCUCUUGACUUUUCCCCAGCAGCUAGAAAGUAAAUUGCAUUGGACCCUAAAGCCGUGUGUUCAAGUAUACGGCUGCUGGAAGUGCCCUGUGGGUUCAAAGGGACGGCCCCUCCCAGCUGUCUGGGCUCGGAGGCAAGCUGUUCCCCCCCUGACCGGGCUGCCAGCUCCCCAGUACAACAAGCAGCACUGCUGCCAGAGCAAUGGGAAUCUGGAAUGAAAUGCCUUUCAAAGGCCAAUGCGUGAGUUUUCACAGCAAAGGCAUGUCAACUAAUACGGGACGGGCUGACCUUUGCAAGGGUUGGACAGAUGCCGCGCGUGUAGUGAUGUCUGGAGCAGUUUGCUGCUAAAGGGGUCGACGCGUUUUAAGCAUUUUAUAAAAAAGGGGCCUUUUACUGUUGCACUGACAAGCCACUCGGCCACCGUACCCCAUGCUGGACUGAAGGAUUGUGGAGAUACAGCCCUAGUCAGGACCCAGCAAACAGUACACUUUAAUCUGCUUUGCUUACUGUGCCAUGACUGCAAAAC